rnacentral:rRNA from 1 species
UACGUAGGUGGCAAGCGUUGUCCGGAAUUAUUGGGCGUAAAGCGCGCGCAGGCGGUCCUUUAAGUCUGAUGUGAAAGCCCACGGCUCAACCGUGGAGGGUCAUUGGAAACUGGGGGACUUGAGUGCAGAAGAGGCAAGUGGAAUUCCCGGUGUAGCGGUGAAAUGCGCAGAUAUCGGGAGGAACACCUAUGGCGAAGGCAGCUUGCUGGGACGGCACUGACGCUGAGACGCGAAAGCGUGGGGAGCGAACAGG